UAUCUGACAUCGGUGAAGAGCAUGAUGAAUGGCGAAGUCUCACCUAUUCAAGACUUUACUGAAGUUCCUCUGCCGUUCUUACGCGACCAACCAUUUAAACUUGAGAUAAAAAUUGUUGAUAGCACAGUGUGUAAAGUAAUUGUGAAUAAGAAGGUCUACAUGUUAUGUGAUUCCAGUUUCGGACUUAUUAAUGGUUUGGCUUUAGAAACCUCUAAAUGGCUUUACAUUAAUGGCGACAUUCAGCUCAUCAGUGUUCACAAUGAUUGAAGCUGUCUUUGAUUUUAAAAAAAAACAUUAAAAAAAUUGUGUAUGUAAGAUCUGUAUUUUAUCAUUAUCAUUAAGAAUAUAUUGCAUGAUUUGUCGAUUUGAAAAAUAAAAUAAAAGAAUAUAGUCGUCAUUACUUUUUAAAUAAUGUAUCAGUAAUAUUCUGUAAAUGUAAUUAUGAAAUUUGAGUUUUUUACUGCUUUAUUUAUUUUAACCUUUUAUUUAUAAUUAAAACGCUUAAUUUUUUUAAA